rnacentral:rRNA from 1 species
CAGCCGCCGCGGUAAUACGAAGGGUGCAAGCGUUACUCGGAAUUACUGGGCGUAAAGCGUGCGUAGGUGGUGGUUUAAGUCCGUUGUGAAAGCCCUGGGCUCAACCUGGGAAUUGCAGUGGAUACUGGGUCACUAGAGUGUGGUAGAGGAUAGUGGAAUUUCCGGUGUAGCAGUGAAAUGCGUAGAGAUCGGGAGGAACAUCUGUGGCGAAGGCGACUAUCUGGGCCAACACUGACACUGAGGCACGAAAGCGUGGGGAGCAAACAGGAUUAGAUACCCCCGUAGUCCCUGUCUCUUAUAC